UAUGACGCAGAUUGUUUUUGGAUGUUUGUCUGUUUUGAUUAGCAUUUUUUUUUUUUUUUUUGUUUUGUAAUGGUAUUUACAAUUUGUAAUGUUUUGGGGGGUUUUGUUGUACCUCUUGGGCUGCCGUAACUAAUGAGGGCAGGCCCUUUAAAGGCUGGUAGAAUCGUUGUGUCAAUCAAUGACUUGAACUGUCAAGCUGAGUAGCAUGAAGAAAUCAACACUUAGUGUUCCCCAGUGAAAGCAGCGAGUUUUCACGGUGACUGUGGUGAUUCUGAAUCACCCGAAGAAAAAUAAAACGCUAAAUUCACCCGUC